rnacentral:rRNA from 1 species
UUUCAAAGCUUAAGCCAUGCAAGUCUCAGUACAAGCCAAAUAAGGUGAAACCGCAAACGGCUCAUUAAAUCAGUUUUAGUUUACUUGAGCAUUGACUGAUACUGUUUUGGAUAACUGUGGCAAUUCUAGAGCUAAUACAUGCAACCAAGUCCCGACCAGUGAUGGAAAGGACGCUUUUAUUAGAUCAAAAUCAAUCGGUUCGGGUUCGUCCCGUUUCGUUUGACUUUGGUGACUCUGAAUAACACUGUAGAUCGCACGGUCUUUGUACCGGCGACCCAUCUUUCAAAUGCCUGACUUAUCAACUGUCGAUGGUAGACUCUACGUCUACCAUGGUUGUAACGGGUGACGGGGAAUCAGGGUUCGAUUCCGGAGAGGGAGCCUGAGAAACGGCUACCACAUCCAAGGAAGGCAGCAGGCACGCAAAUUACCCACUCCCGGCACGGGGAGGUAGUGACAAAAAAUAACGAUACGGGACUCAUCCGAGGCCCCGUAAUCGGAAUGAGAACACUCUAAAUCAUUUAACAAGGACCUAUUGGAGGGCAAGUCUGGUGCCAGCAGCCGCGGUAAUUCCAGCUCCAAUAGCGUAUAUUAAAGUUGUUGCGGUUAAAAAGCUCGUAGUUGGUUCUGCGUCCCACGCUGUCGGUUCACCGCCUGUCGGUGCAACUGGCACGCCGUGGGAUGUCCUGUCGGUGGUGGCCGUGUCUCGCGGUUCUCGGUGUAGGCACCUUCAACGGCGCCGAAACCGUCCGUCGAGAACCGGUCGCCGAAUCAAUCCUGCCGCGGUGCUCUUCGCUGAGUGUCGAGGUAGGCCGACACGUUUACUUUGAACAAAUUAGAGUGCUCAAAGCAGGCUGAAUUCCGCCUGAAUAGUGGUGCAUGGAAUAAUUGAAGAGGACCUCGGUUCUAUUUUGUUGGUUUUCGGAAUCCGAGGUAAUGAUCAAUAUGGACAGGCGGGGGCAUUCGUAUUGCGGCGUUAGAGGUGAAAUUCUUGGAUCGUCGCAAGACGGACUAGAGCGAAAGCAUUUGCCAAGUAUGUCUUAGUGAUCAAGAACGAAAGUUAGAGGUUCGAAGGCGAUCAGAUACCGCCCUAGUUCUAACCAUAAACGAUGCCAGCCAGCGAUCCGCCGAUGUUCCUCCGAUGACUCGGCGGGCAGCUUACGGGAAACCAAAGCUUUUGGGUUCCGGGGGAAGUAUGGUUGCAAAGCUGAAACUUAAAGGAAUUGACGGAAGGGCACCACCAGGAGUGGAGCCUGCGGCUUAAUUUGACUCAACACGGGGAACCUCACCAGGCCCGGACAUUGGAAGGAUUGACAGAUUGAUAGCUCUUUCUUGAUUCAAUGGGUAGUGGUGCAUGGCCGUUCUUAGUUGGUGGAACGAUUUGUCUGGUUAAUUCCGAUAACGAACGAGACUCUAGCCUACUAACUAGGCGAUUCCGGUAUCCAAUGCUACCGGCGUAUUAAUUUCUUCUUAGAGGGACAGGCGGCUCUUACCCGCACGAGAUUGAACAAUAACAGGUCUGUGAUGCCCUUAGAUGUUCUGGGCCGCACGCGCGCUACACUGAAGGAAUCAGCGUGUCUCACCCUUGCCCGAGAGGUGCGGGAAACCCGUUGAACCUCCUUCGUGCUAGGAAUUGGGGCUUGCAAUUGUUCCCCAUGAACGAGGAAUUCCCAGUAAGCGCGGGUCAUGAGCUCGCGUUGAUUACGUCCCUGCCCUUUGUACACACCGCCCGUCGCUACUACCGAUUGAAUGAUUUAGUGAGGUCUUCGGACUGGUGAUGAGCGGCCACCGUGAAAACGGUGCCGGUGUCGCCGGGAAGAUGACCGAUCUUGAUCAUUUAGAGGAAGUAAAAGUCGUAACGAUGUUUUC